rnacentral:rRNA from 1 species
UACCAACACCCCGAGUGGUCGGGACGAUUAUUGGGCCUAAAGCAUCCGUAGCCGGUUCUACAAGUCUUCCGUUAAAUCCACCUGCUCAACAGUUGGGCUGCGGAGGAUACUAUAGAGCUAGGAGGCGGGAGAGGCAAGCGGUACUUAGUGGGUAGGGGUAAAAUCCGUUGAUCCAUUGAAGACCACCAGUGGCGAAGGCGGCUUGCCAGAACGCACUCGACGGUGAGGGAUGAAAGCUGGGGGAGCAAACCGG